GCGGGAAUAACUCAGUGGUAGAGUGUCAGCUUCCCAAGCUGAAGGCCGAGGGUUCGAAUCCCUUUUCCCGCUCCA
rnacentral:tRNA from 1 species